GACGAACGCUGGCGGCGUGCUUAACACAUGCAAGUCGAACGGAAAGGCCCCCACCUUGGUGGGGGUGCUCGAGUGGCGAACGGGUGAGUAACACGUGGGUGAUCUGCCCUGUACUUCGGGAUAAGCUUGGGAAACUGGGUCUAAUACCGGAUAGGACCAUGGUUUAGUGUCUCAUGGUGGAAAGAUUAUUGUUUUGGUGCAGGAUGAGCUCGCGGCCUAUCAGCUUGUUGGUGGGGUAAUGGCCUACCAAGGCGUCGACGGGUAGCCGGCCUGAGAGGGUGGACGGCCACAUUGGGACUGAGAUACGGCCCAGACUCCUACGGGAGGCAGCAGUGGGGAAUAUUGCACAAUGGGCGCAAGCCUGAUGCAGCGACGCCGCGUGGGGGAUGACGGCCUUCGGGUUGUAAACUCCUUUCGUUAGGGACGAAGCCACACUUUUUUUGGGUGUGGUGACGGUACCUUUGUUAAGAAGCACCGGCUAACUACGUGCCAGCAGCCGCGGUAAUACGUAGGGUGCGAGCGUUGUCCGGAAUUACUGGGCGUAAAGAGCUCGUAGGUGGUUUGUUGCGUCGUCUGUGAAAUUCCGGGGCUUAACUUCGGGGUGGCAGGCGAUACGGGCAUAACUAGAGUGCUGUAGGGGAGACUGGAAUUCCCGGUGUAGCGGUGGAAUGCGCAGAUAUCAGGAGGAACACCGAUGGCGAAGGCAGGUCUCUGGGCAGUAACUGACGCUGAGGAGCGAAAGCAUGGGGAGCGAACAGGAUUAGAUACCCUGGUAGUCCAUGCUGUAAACGGUGGGCGUUAGGUGUGGGGACCGGUUUGGUUUCUGUGCCGUAGCUAACGCAUUAAGCGCCCCGCCUGGGGAGUACGGCCGCAAGGCUAAAACUCAAAGGAAUUGACGGGGGCCCGCACAAGCGGCGGAGCAUGUGGAUUAAUUCGAUGCAACGCGAAGAACCUUACCUGGGUUUGACAUGCACCAGACGGUUGUAGAGAUACGUACCUCCCUUUGUGGUUGGUGUGCAGGUGGUGCAUGGUUGUCGUCAGCUCGUGUCGUGAGAUGUUGGGUUAAGUCCCGCAACGAGCGCAACCCUUGUCUUAUGUUGCCAGCACUUUGGGUGGGGACUCAUGAGAGACUGCCGGGGUUAACUCGGAGGAAGGUGGGGAUGACGUCAAAUCAUCAUGCCCUUUAUGCCCAGGGCUUCACACAUGCUACAAUGGUUAGUACAACGCGCGGCAAGCCUGUGAGGGUGAGCGAAUCGCUGAAAGCUAAUCUCAGUUCGGAUUGGGGUCUGCAACUCGACCCCAUGAAGUCGGAGUCGCUAGUAAUCGCAGAUCAGCAAUGCUGCGGUGAAUACGUUCCCGGGCCU
rnacentral:rRNA from 1 species